rnacentral:rRNA from 1 species
CCAAUAGCGUAUAUUAAAGUUGUUGCAGUUAAAAAGCUCGUAGUUGAAUUUCGGGAUUGACACAUCGGUCGUGCCUUAAGGGGUAUGAACUGGUGUAGUCAAUUUCUCACCUUCUGGAGAACCGCGAUGCCCUUAAUUGGGUGUCGCGGGGAACCAGGACCUUUACUUUGAAAAAAUUAGAGUGUUUAAAGCAGGCAUUUUGCUUGAAUACAUUAGCAUGGAAUGAUAAAAGAGGACGGCAUGAUUCUAUUUUGUUGGUUUCUAGGAUCACCGUAAUGAUUAAUAGGGAUAGUUGGGGGCAUUAGUAUUCAAUUGUCAGAGGUGAAAUUCUUGGAUUUAUUGAAGACUAACUACUGCGAAAGCAUUUGCCAAGGAUGUUUUCAUUAAUCAAGAACGAAAGUUAGGGGAUCGAAGACGAUCAGAUACCGUCGUAGUCUUAACCAUAAACUAUGCCGACUAGGAAUCAGACGAUGUUAAUUUUUUAAUGACUCGUUUGGCACCUUACG